rnacentral:rRNA from 1 species
GAUAAACGCUGGCGGCGUGCCUAAUACAUGCAAGUCGAUCGAUGGAAACCUAGCUUGCUAGGUGGAAGUAGAGGCGAACGGGUGAGUAACACAUAAGCAACCUGCCUACAAAGACUGGGAUAAUCUCUGGAAACGGGGACUAAGACCGGAUAGGUAAUAGGACCACAUGAUCUUAUUAUUAAAGGUGAGAAACACUAGUAGAUGGGCUUAUGGCGCAUUAGUUAGUUGGUAAGGUAACGGCCUACCAAGACGAUGAUGCGUAGCCGGGCUGAGAGGCUGAACGGCCACAUUGGGACUGAGACACGGCCCAGACUCCUACGGGAGGCAGCAGUAGGGAAUUUUCGGCAAUGGGGGAAACCCUGACCGAGCAACGCCGCGUGAGUGAUGAAAGUCUUCGGAUUGUAAAGCUCUGUUAUAAGGGAAGAACGUCCCGGAUAGUCUCCGGGAGUGACGGUACCUUAUCAGAAAGCUACGGCUAACUACGUG